UACGGGGGGAGCAAGCGUUGUUCGGAUUUACUGGGCGUAAAGGGCGCGUAGGCGGCCACCGCAAGUCGACUGUGAAAUCUCCGGGCUUAACUCGGAAAGGUCAGCCGAUACUGCGGGGCUAGAGUGCAGAAGGGGCAACUGGAAUUCUCGGUGUAGCGGUGAAAUGCGUAGAUAUCGAGAGGAACACCGGUGGCGAAGGCGGCGACCUGGGUUGAUAUUGACGCUGAGGCGCGAAAGCGUGGGGAGCAAACAGG
rnacentral:rRNA from 1 species